rnacentral:lncRNA from 1 species
UUUUUUUUUUUUUUUUUUUUUUUAAAAGCGUCCCCCUCUCCCCCGCAUUUCAAAAAUGCAAUGGGGCAUUUGUUGCCAAUCAGUCCCUGCCAUUUUUCUUUAAAAAAAUAUUUUUCCACCUCCAGCUUGAAAUAAUUGGAGCUGGUCCUUUGACUAGCGCCAAUAUGAUGCCUUUUCCUUUUUUGAAAAAUAAAUGAAGAAAUUUGCCCAUUGUUAUAGCAUAUUCUAAAGAGUUUAUGGAAAGUCGAUAAAGGCUUUUCUUGAGUCAUUAUUAUUGUGACUAUUGACUCCAUUGAAAUUGUGAAUUUUGCGUUUGAAAAAACUGAAAUUUGAAAAUUGAAAUCUAAAAUCUAAAAUAUGAAUCCAUUAAAUUAUUGAACUUUUAAGUAGUAAAUUUAAUAUAUUUGAGUGUAUAUUAUAUUGAGUGAUAAGUGAAUAGUUUAUCACUUAUUUUUUGGAGCAAAUAGUGCCUAAAAAUUUAGUGUCACUUAAUUAAUUUAGAUGUCAAUUUUUAGUAUACCUGAUAAUUGGCCGAGUUAGGCUAGUUUAUAUUGGAUUUUCACUUAAAUAGAUUAUACCGAAUCCGGCCAACUUUAGAUUGGAUUGGGUCAUGUCAAACCCAUAACCCAAAUGUAAUCUAACUUAUUAAUUAAUAUAUUUUGAUACAUAAAGUUUCUCACGUACAUUUACAUACACAAAAAGAUUUUUUUGACAUACAUAAAUACAUUUUCACAUAUAUAAAUAUAUUUUCAUGCACUAACACACUUUCACACACACAAAAGCACACUCACUUCUUAAACUCCUUGGAAACACAUCAUAAAUAGAAUAAUACUUUAUAUUACUUGUAUUGUGAAUUUUAGAUAAUAAAGUGUACAUUUAAAUAGAUUAGCUAAACAAAUUCGUUUACUUUAUACUUUUUAAUACUACUAAUGAUUGAAACUUAUUUAACAUUUUUACCAUUGAUAUCUGCUUUAUUGUAAGUUCUAAUAUUUAAUGUAUUUAAAUUAUUGAAUGCUAAAUUAUAUUAUGCUUGAAAAUGUAAUUAAAAGACAUAUAAUUUGUUGUAUUAUAAUAUUGAUGAGGAAUUUGUUAACAAUAAAAUAAAACAAGUUAGAGGAAAGUAAAAGAAUGCAAUUAGAACAAAUUUAAAACUCUAUUAUAGGUACACAAAAAUAUUAACAAACAGAAUCAAGUAGCAAUAGGAUAAUAACAAUAAAAGAAAAGAAAAAAAAGGGGAGGAAAACAACAUACUUUUAAAAGGCAUAAUAAAUUGUCAUAGAAGUUGAGCAACUAUAACUAUUGUUCUAAAAGUAAAAUAAGCAUGAGUUUUUAUUUCAAGUUUCUUUUUUAUUUUUAAAUAAAAAUUAAAAUAUGAUUGAAAACAUACAUACAUAUAUAUAUAUUUUGAAUACAAAAUGGUCAAUAAUUUGUUAACAUAUGUCCAGAUGCAAGUGGCUUGGCAUAUGUGUAUUGAAUUUUGUAUUUAUUAUUUUGAACUAUUUUCAAACAAGUUGGGCAUUGGGUGGCCAGAUAAAAAAUCCAACCCGUCCAAUAAAUAAGUUGGGUUAUUCUUACUCAACCCAACAAAACCCAUAACCCAACUCAUCCAACUCAUCCUUUAAAAUUAAUGGGCGGGUUGUUGGGUUAUAGAUUUUUUUUGCUAGCUCCAAUUUUUAAUUAUUAAACACAACUAAAUAUAUUAAAAUUUAAAUCCAUUAAGUUUAAAUGAUAAAUUAGAUUAUCAAAUAGGGCCUUACUCUGCUUCCUUCAAAGUAAAGUUUUUGUUAAUUAAUUACUCCCAACCUUUUGUAAAUUUGGGAUUUGAUUCUAGAGUUACUACAUUACGACCCACAUUUAUUGUUGCUAGUUGCCACCCAAAGGAUAGAUAGCACGAAUCAUAGUUAUGAAACAUGGCCCAACAGUUUAACUGGUCAACUCAAUAAAUUUUUUUUUCCUGAGAGAGGGGGUAUUCGGGUCAUCGGGUAAACUGAACCCGACUAAUCCCCCACCGGUCCUGAAGGAGAGGCCCCUUCCCUCCGAACACGAUAAUCAUGGGGACUCGAACCCUGGUAAAAAUGAAUAACGGCUCCUAAAGAGGCUUGCUGUGACCAACUGAGCUGUCAUGAGAGGCGAUCAACUCAGUAAAUUGAUUACUUAAUUGAGCCAGAUCAAUAGUUGGACCAAAUUAGAAAGAAACUCGUUAACUAGACAAUAAUUUAUUGAUUUGAUUAGUAAAAUCUCAAAAAACCAACCAGUUCAACCACCUAUUUGACCCACAAUAUCUUUAAUAAUUUAAACAUGUUAUUUUAUUACUCUACAUUAUAUAACCAUUGAAUCAACCAAUAAACUUGCAGUUCAACUUCUAACUUUGUUGAACUAAUAGCCCUUUUGGGUUGAUAUCCGGACUGGGUUUAAUAACUAUGCUACUGCUGCCUCUUAACAAUGAUAACGAGUUAGCUUUGAGCAAGCUAGCUCCUUCAAAGUUCAAACCCGUUCUGGUGAGAGGCAUUAACCCCUUACCUACUUCCAGGUCAACUGGCUCCUAUAUCAAAUGAUCAAAUCUUUUCACUUGCAAGUCCUUUCGAUGUCAUCAUUUGGCUUUGUCUCUAUCUUCUUGGAUCUCAUCAACUUAAAUAGACCCAUACCUAGGAUUCCAAAGGUUAAUUACCUGUCCAUUCAGCCAAGCCAUUGAAUGUCACACCAAACUUUGUUUCCUUAUUCAUUUUUCUUUCUUUUUCCCUCUUGUUUUUGGUGGCAACCUACUCAUUUGAAAGUCUUUAAAUUGUGUGAAAAAUCUCUUGUAUUCCCCAGCAGGUCAAUGUUUUCAUUUUCUUAUUCAAACAGCACAAGGCAAACAGGCUGGUCAAUCUAGUUUUAAAGACUAUUGGAAGCCACAAUGCCAGAAUAUACCACUCCUAUUAUAAGGCAAAAAAAAAAAGAAAAAAGAAAUCAAAAUCUUGAGAACCAAAUUCCAAAAAACCUUUUCUGAACCAACAUAAUAUUUUGUAUUCAAACCGAGUAAAAAGGAUUAGGAAAAAAGGAGUUUCAUCUUGCACGGAGUAAACUCCAUACCAUCAUCAAAUUGUAGUGAUGUUCAUAAAUAGCCUGUUAACAAAAGCCUACGGUAUACAUGUGGUUAUGUCUACUAAAAAUAAAGGCAACUGCAGAAGGUCACAAAACUCUCCAGCUCCGCUCCACAGCAUUGCAGAUCCUAGAUAUGCAGAAUGCAGCGCUCAACGGAUAAUCAGAAACUGCAAGAAGUCAUUAGAAAUUAGAUGGCUGAAAACAAAUUAUUAGCAAGAUCAUCGACAAGCUACCACCAUAAUUCACCCCUGGAAGGCAAAUUCUCAAUCAGCAAAAGUACUGAAAUGCAGAGAUCAGUUUCAGAUUAAAUUUAACAUGGACUUGUCCAUACUUGUACUAAAAGAAAACCGGACUGUACUUGCCUCACAGUAAAAGAUCGCAUAACUGGAAAUUUUGGUUAGGUUUCUGAACUGAAAUUAAUGCAUGCUUGCUAAUGAGUCAACGAACUAUGCAGACAAAUGAUAUUCAUCAAGUACCUGGGAAUUAAGAGCAUACAAACAAGUGUAUUACUUUUUUCCUCCUCAUCUUUGUUACAGCAUAUAUUCAACUAAUAGGAACAAAUUAUCAAGCAUGCUGCCCUGUGGUUGGUGAUUAACGAAUAUCAAAUAAUCAGAAAAUGGAAUAUCAUGUAUGGCAAAUUUCAUGCACUCUAUAUCUCCAAUAUGUUAUCUCAAUUGCAUGCUUGGUAUGUGCAAUUCUUCUUCCUCAAAGUUACAAAUUCCCAUAUAUGGAAAUUUUGGUUAUAUACAUACUGAAAUUAACACUCACUAAAUAAUAAGACCAUGCAGAAGUUAUAUUCAUCAAGUACCAGGGAAGUAACAUCAGACAAACAAGUGUACAACCUUUUUCCUCUUCAUCUUUCUUACAUCAUUUACAGUCAACCCUAUGAGCAAAACUAUAUAAAAACGCUCACAUUUAACAAAUAUCAUACAAUAAUAAAAUGAAGUAUCAUGUCUUGCACAUUUCACGCACUUGCAUCUCCAAUGUGUCAUUUCAAUUGUAUCCUUCAUAUGUUCAAUUCUUCUUCCUCUUAUUCAAAUGGCUAGAUGAUGAAGUAGAAUACUUGAGUGCAAAAGGCAUUCUACUUAACGGAAUAUUCUGGAAAGCACAACAGAACUUACUACAAAUCCUAGUUAGCAUAAAACAGUGCACCAUUAGUAAAUAUACUCUUAGCUGCAGUCUAGAUAAAUUAAAAGGCUGAAUGUCUCAUGGUCAACAUUCAAUCUGCUAGGCACUUAAAAUCUGUUCUCGGGUUCAUGGCAAACUUGCAGAGCUUUUAUAUUUUAAAAACACACUUAAAACCAUCCUUUCUUUCAAGUCACAGCACCCAUUUAAGGCUAAAUUACGGGUCAGCCUAUUGGGUCAUUUAGCACUUAACAUCUCCAUAAAGGCACUGCCCUCUAGUGUUUCAUUUUCUGACAUUUUAAACAAAAAACAGUUCAUUUGAAAAAUCACUUGGAAUGUUUAUAUCUCCAUUAAAAUGAAGUUUUGAAAGUCAAAACAAAAACCAAUUAUGCAUUAAAGUUUGACAAGGGGAACCAACACACUGGGCAUAAGUUGCCAUAUGGCCAACAAACUCUAAAAGAGCCUCUACGCAUUAAAAUUUCUUCUUAAAAGAUUAGACUCGUUGGCUAUGUUAAAUCAACUGAAAUUUGUGCAACUACAAGCUAAACAUCUUCAACAUCAACUAAUAGGAGAACCAACACCCAUGAAGAAACCAAUAUGUAUGUUUCAAAAUGUAUAAAUAUAAGAUGUAAGACCAAAAAAAAAAAAAAGCGAGCAAAUUAUCUUACUUGAUAUAAAAUCCUCAACAUAAUCAACAUCAAUUUUUCCAUGAGCCAUCGCACCAACCUGUAUAAACAAGGUCAAGUAUGAUGCAAGUUUUAAUUGAAAUCAAUGACUACAAAAUUUCUGUUUAUAGAUAAGCACACAGCAUACCACGAAUACAAGGUUCAUCUCAUUACCAACAGCAGCGACAUAAUCUUGCAUAUCAACCAAUUUUUGCGAACUAUGUGAGAAGCCUGAGAACCAAUCAAGUAAGCUGAUUAUUCAAAAUUUAUCGCUUGGGGGAUGACAACAAUGAGAAGGCAACUUCAUUCACCUAUUUUCCGAGAGUUGAUGGGCAAAUACUUGGUUACAGGAUUCUGGAUAGCUUGCAGAAGUUUUUCACGCUUACCAACAGCAGUUAUACUCAGUUUUUGUAACAGCUGCACUGUAACAUUACAGAAACAUUACAAAGCUCUAAUACGAAUAUAAUAUAACCACCUGGAAGAAAAUUCAACAUUCUCAAGGUAAAAAAGUAAUUGCCAGGUGGAAAGACUAGUCAAACUUACACAUGAUGCCAGAAAAACGAUCAAAUGUCCUUGGAAUACGAACAUGAGGUUUAAUUUCAAAGAGCACGCCUUUCUCAGUCUUCACAUACAAAGCUUUCAUUCUACCAGAUUUAUUAAGUGUACUGUCCAAAAUCAUCAGGAUUGCCUGAAUAAAUAACAUUCAUGUCAUGUGCAGUUUUAAAACACAAUGGAACUCAGACUCAAAAAAGGGAACAAAAGUCAAGCUACUGAGAAACACAAACAGAUUUUAAAUUUUAUAAGCAGUAAAGUACAUACUAAAUGAAGCUAUGAACCUAACACCAACUUUUGGCAAAAAAAAUGUGCAGCACAACACAAAUGAAUGGGUAACUCAUGCAAAUUAUCUUGAACUACUGUGAUGGGAAAGGGAAGAAUGUAGAUUUUUUGCCAUUGCUCAAGUCAGAAAGCAGGAAGGUAAAAGAAACAAAUUUCCUCAAAAAGUCUCCAGAAAUUAUUAACAAUAAGUCUGAGAAUACAAUAAAAAUAAUUUGAUGCAGACCAAGAAUUUUACAGGUUAGGCCAUCUACCACCAUGUAUUCAAACCUUAAGGGGAUUUUAACAAGUGGCCACAAAUCCUGUCAAUAUCCUAUCUACCUAUUUCCUCCCCAUCCUAAAACCAAAAAGAUAGUGACUUUAGGCAGCUGUUUACUCCUUGAUUUCCUCUCAAUCCACUUCUUAAGCAAUCAUAUGAAGAUUAAUGAUAUUCAGUCCUAAAUUUUGAGAUGGAAAAAAGCAAGUAACAUAAAAGGAGCCAGAAGUAAGAGCAGGAAUACACUGUCAGAAAGCCAAACCCAGUCAGACACUAAUCUUAACUAAAAUCACAUAAGAUGCUGAAUUCAAAGUUUUUCAUAAUUACAUGGGCUUUCACAUCCCCAACAACAGCUUAGGGUAGCAUAAAAGUUUGAAUUUUUGCUGAUUUUAUUGCUGGUAAAUUGAGAUUCAUCUAUAGACACUUAGCAACCCCUAUGUUAACGAUGCAACUGAAGAAGCAGUGUAUUUCCUUAGGGUAUCAGACAGACUCGGCACUGUUCAAACAAAUUCACCUGAUGAGCAAUGUCAGGCCGGUAAUCAGCUGGAUUCCGUCCAUUUCUCCUCAGAAAAUUCGCAUGCUUGUCUGAGUUCAGAAGUUGAUAAUUCUGCAUUGUCAAAACAAAACAGAAACAACAUAAAUAAGUAAACCAAAACAACUGCUAGACCCCUAAAACACGAAACCCAAGAACAUAAUAUACCUUUCCCACUUUUGCAACCUCCAGAGAAGCCUUUUCAAGAAUGAAAAUAACCCCAGGUUUAUUGGCGUUUUUCUGGUCAUCAGCAAGAACAAUUGGAAGGCUGGGAAGUUCAUUUGCUAGUUCUUCAGCCCUUCUCUUCUUUUCAUUCAUAUUCUCCUCAUCUUCCUCUUCCUCUGCCCCUCCCUCUCGUGGGACAGAUUUUUCUACAUAUUCUUCUUCUCCAUUUUCUUCUUUAUCAUAUUGCACCUUAUCUCUCUUCCUUUUCUUGUGCCCUUUCAUUUUGUAAUGCCUCACCAUUUUUCCUUGAUCAAAAGCUCAAAAGAAUAAGCUUUUUGCUUGGAGAACCGGUUGAGCAGGGGAGAUGAAAUGAGAAGACAGAGGCAAGCCUUUGAUAAUUUCUACCGGAUAGGGUUUUUCGAGGGCUUAGAUACCCGAUUUUCCAAGAUUCGUAUAAUUACAUUCUUGGCCCUCAAUAUUAGGGAAAUUAAUUCUCUGCUUUUGCAAUUGCAUUCUUGACCAUCAAUAUUCGAGAAAUUAAUUAUUUGCUUUUACUCUUUUAUUUAUUGUACUAUUUACACAUCAAAACUAAAUAUAUUUCCAUUCUUUUAACUAUAAAAAAUAUAUAACAACGUUCAAUCUUAUGAUUCAAAUUAGUACAUGUUACAUGCCGCAUCUGCAUAUAACAUUUGUAGCCUCUUUUUUUUUGGUGUCUUUUGAUUUUGUAUUUAAUCUGCAUUUUAAGUUAAUAAUCUUGUAAAUAAACAUUUAAGGAAUAUAUUUAUUUGGAUGCUUUUAGAUUUACAUAAUUAGGCCUAGUAGUUAUCACAAAAUUGAACUGAUGCACUUGGACUAAUUUAAUCAAUUUUGAACCAAAACUUCUAAAAUUUCAUAAUUAAAUCAUCAAUAUACUCCUGAAAAUUUAAAGCGAGUAUUUUUGGAAUAUUACUUUUAUUAUUUAAUAGAAAAUUUAAAAAUUAAUGUUCUAUCUUGUUUUUGAAAAAUUCGUAUAAAAUUUCUACACUAUUAACUUACAUUAAUUAGUUUUAAAGGAUAACAAUGAAAUAUCUAGAUCUUUUUUGAAGUGAUUAUUCCUUCACGAUGAGUAAAAACCUUUCUGUUUUUGUGACUCAAGAGCUGCACACAUAAAAGUGAAGCUCUAUUUAAUAAUAAAUUUUUUAACUAGUGACAUGAAUAUGGUAUAAAGGAAUUUUUAUGCUGUUUAUGAGGGUAAAAAUGAUUAAUCCUUUUCUUGAAAAAAAGACCUUUUUCAUUUUUUAAGAGGCAAAAUAACUAUUACAUUAAGAAAAAUAUUAAAAUAAAAGAAACAAAUCCAGAUAAACAAUAUGUAUUUUGUAAACCUAUAGUGGGAUAAUUGUUUGCAAAUUGCAACUAUACAAAAAGGUUUUUAGUUAAAAUUGACAAAAUAUAAGGACCGGAUAUCGCCCGAUGCCUAUAACGGGUCGGUUCAAACAGUCCCCGCCGACCCAUUCCUUGGCUUACUCAAAAAAGUUAAUGGCGGCCAACUUCGUCCGCCGGUAAAACCCACUCCAAAACCCUCCCCUCUCUCUUUCUCUCUGAAAAAAAAAAAAAAAAAAAACACACACACACACACUUAUUGUUCAUUUGAUUCUGUAUUCUCCCAAAAAAAUGGCGAAUCAAGGUGGCGGGACCUUGAAAUCGACGUCGAUAAAUGGGGUGAAGAUGUACACCGUCACCGGCCAACACCGGUCAUUGGCCACCUGGCUUCCUCCCAAGAAGCUCCGAGCUCUCCGCAAAGACAAAGGUCACCCGGAAAGCUCCCCCUUUUCUACGUUUUGUUUAACAAUUGUUAGAAUUCUUUCUCUGGCUUCCCCUGUUGGUUAAUCCCUUGCCUUUUGUGACUAAUUUUUGAGCUGAUUUGAAGCUUAAUAAGUACUUUGGAUUAAUGCUAGGGUAAUUUGGAACCAGUUGUAGUAGUUAUAUCGUGAAUUUUGCGCACCUAAGUUUCUUAGAGUGUUUUGAUUGUGAAGAAAACUGCCCUUAGGGUGCUCCCCCCCGGGGGGGGGGGACGGAAUUGUUGUACAUUUUAAUGAGUUGAUUGCAAUAUGAACUUCAACUUUGUCGACCACUUUUCUUUGUCAGAUUUGCUUACUUUUGAAAGCUUGUGGCUUUGCAAAGUUGACUUAAUAUUUAUGUUUGUGCCGAGGUUUUAGAUUAUAUGCAGAGAGUGGAUUUGAUCCAGGAUUUGAGGUUUGAAACUGCAACAAGUAGAAUUAAGGCAACAUCAGAUGGGGAAUACCUUAUUGCCUCAGGUGAAUAUUAGUAGUUUUGAAUCAUAAAAUUAUACAUGCUCCUGCUUUGGAUUUAUGUUUUGAGAUGAAAUGUGGGUGAGUAUCAAGCUUUUAUGUUAUCUUCAAUUUUAGGAAUAUACCCACCACAAGUCAAAGUGUACGAGUUACGUGAGCUAUCCUUGAAAUUUGAAAGGCAUUUGGUGUCAGAGAUAGUAAACUUUGAGGUAAUUUCUUCAUCUUGCAAUCUUCCUUGUGGAUGCUGCAUAUGAUUAGCAAUGUAUUGCUGCUAAUUUACUGAUGUGAGUUCCUAGACUAUAUGCUUGCUCUAACCCAAGAAUUCUUUUGCAUGGUAGAUGUGGUUUCUUUGUGAAAUGUGUUAAUGCAUCACAUUUUUCAACUUGUGAGUAUAUACUCUUGUGUUAUAUUCUCUUUUUUUUUUCUUUUUUAAUUUUUCUAGCAGCGGAAGAGUGGGAUUUAACAAGCAGGAAGGGGAAGGGGGAUUUGAACUUAGGAUAAGUCCUAAGGCCUCAGUGUUAUAUGCUUUGUCAUGAUAAAGAUUAAGUCAUCUCAGUGAAGUAUUUAUUACCUUGAAUGAACUUCUUUACUGUCCAAACUGGACCCUAACAAGAUUAUUAAUAUCCUCUUAUGUGCCAUGCAUAAGUGUGUAGAAACUUUUAAUCUGGCAUACUGAUUUAUGACACAGCUGUGCUGGUGGGGUAGAAAUGAUGACCUCUAGAAGGAUGUUUUAAUGGUGAUCCAAAGAGUCCUAAAAAUGUUAAAUGGUUCUUAGUAAUCUGCUGGUCAGCUUAGCAGUUGUUUAUUUGAAUUUAGGAGUCAAAUGUGGUGUGUCUCUUUUUGCAUAUGAACGUUGCUGAAAUUUUUUUCUUCAUUCCACAUUUGUUUUUUUUUUCUUUUAUGAUCUUAGUUGGAGUCUUCGUUGUCUUAGUUGGGUUGUGGACUUGAGUAAUAUAGGCGGUUUUUAUUUCUUAUACUGUUCUUGCAGCUAGUCUAUUACCAUAGAGAUUUGAUUAAUAAGCAAAUCAUGUCCAUUGAGAAUUAUUCCCUCUCAAAUUCCCAUCAUUGUCUUCCCUUUUUGCCUUUUUUUUCUCGUCACUUUUCUGGGGUCCUGUUGACAGCCUGAAAACAGACUUAGAUUCUCUUCAGUCUUCUAUUAGCACUGUUAGGAGAGAAUACCAUAAUAUUGUCCUCAGUCAAUUGGCCUGUCUUUAUUCUUUGCUGAGAAAUCUUGUCUUGUAGGAGUUUGUUUGAUUUGUACAUACCUUUCCUGCAAGCUUUGUAGUUUUAGUAUAGGUUCGUAAAUAGAUUUUAUAUUGAAUUCUGAGGUGAUGGCUAUACCAGUGAAAUAUAUUUCUAUUUCUUCUGAAGUGUCUGAAAUGUCUCUCUCUGUUUUCUUGAAACAGCAUUUUGUGAAUUUUGGGUUUUCUUGCUCUUUUAGGUCUUGAGUGAUGACUAUUCAAAGAUUGCGUUUCUCUGUGCUGAUCGUUCUGUUUGCCUACAUGCCAAAUAUGGAAGUCACUACACCUUGCGGAUUCCAAGGUACUUUACUAACCAAUCUUCAUAAUAUGUCUUUGCUGGUGAUCUCUAAGGAAUAUUGCAUGUGAGAUUUCCUCCCCUUUAUCUCUUUCAUCUUAACUUAGUGAUGGAAAAUCGUUCGAAUGCUUUGGAUUUGAAGCAUGUACAAGUCUAGUUUUGCUCUACUUAGGAAGUUUGGCAUUUGCUGUUAUAUAAUAGGAUUCUGAUUCACUAGGCUAGUUCAAUAAAGCGCACAUAUUCAUCUUGAAGGUAAGAUGAAAGGUUGAGCCUAAAGUUUGAUGAUAUAAAUGUCUUUGUUUUUUUAGGCAAUGAUUUAAAUGUCUUUAUUAGUUAGGAAGUACAGAUCUUUGUCAUAUUUCAUCCAAAAAUUAGGAACUCCUCCUGUUUAUAUCGAUUCUGUGCUAUGAGAGAUUUAAAGAAUGUCCCUUGAAGCUGUCUGAGUACAGGUUUUCCUGAUCUCUAUUGAUUAUCAAAAUUUUCUUGUCUGCCCUACUCUAGGUUUUGCUGGUAAUGGUUUUUUCCUGUAAAAUAAUGUAAAUGUGGUUUUCACCUAGUGAAACUUGUUCUUUUUGGUUAAAUGAAUGAAAAUAUUUAAAAAUGAGGAAACUGUAGUAUGAGCAAACCUAGUUGUAACUGAAGUUACAUGAACUGUAAGUCACCUGUAGAGUCACCCCAUACAAGAAAGGCUGGAACAUAUUGACAUUGGUGAACAAGAUUUGUAGUCAUGUUGAUCCUUGCUGUGUCCAUAACUUAUAGGCAGUCAACUUUGACAAAACUUAUAUUCAUGUUGCAUAAUUAAAGCCCUAAGUCUCUGGUAAUAAUUGUUAUAAGUCCAUAUCAACAUCAUCACAUGGUCUGGUACAAAGUCUAAUUUUGAUAUAAGCAAAUAGUCUUUUUGCAUAUGUGCUGAUGGGAAGUAGUAUGGAUCCAUUCAUUUCUAAAAGAUUGAUGGGCGUCGUCACUUGAUUGGCUCCAUUCCAUGUAUUCUCUUCUGUUGCCUGAAACCUAUGUUUUCUCUCGCGGAUUCCCCAACUUUCCUAGAUUUUUCUUUUCUCCUCUAACAUUUGCUUGACGUUUUGGUUUUUCUUAUUGUAUGAACAGGAUGGGAAGGGAUAUGGCAUAUGAUUGCUGGUCGUGUGACUUGAUCUGUGCUGCUUCAUCUCCGGAUGUAUAUAGAAUAAAUUUGGAACAGGUCUCUUAAAAAUUUCUUUUGCUUGUACCCUCUCAUUGUUUCUAUGGGAUUUUUUUUUUUUGCCUUUUUCUAAAACUUAUUUGGAGUAUCUUUCUUCAAGUGCUUUGUUUACUUUAUUUUCUUCUUUGCUGGCUGUUUUGAGGCAAUAGAAGACAGUCUUGCAGAGGCUGUGAUAAACUCCAACUGAACUUGUAAAAUCUCAAAUCCCAUGAAACACUGCAUGAGGAGAUAAAGUAACACUAAGAUAUUAUUGUUAAUGUUCACUUUCUCCUCCUUUCCGUACUUCACAUUCACCUUGUUCCAGGAUGUUUGCACACAACCUAGUGGUUGUUGGUAUUCAUUAAAUUAGUGAUCCAGGCUGGAAGUCUAAAAAUCAAAUCUUGCAGUUACUGUGUUCUUCUUCCCCAUUUGUCCUAUCACUUACCUUCAUUCAUUAACUCUAAAGUGACUAUAAAUUCAUCUGGUUCAAUCCUGGUGGUUGUGUUUGUACUGUAGUACUACUGCUUGUUGCUGCAAUUUGUUUUUGCAACGCAUGCCUGAAUUCUGACAGUAGAAUGCUGUUCAGUUCUUCGAUUCUCCGAGAAAAAGCUUCUACAAUGUCAAGGGCAUUUUUUUCGCAUGUAGAAAGAAAUCGAGAACUACAAGGAGUGCCAAUGGGUGAUUUAUGAGAGAGUGAAUCUACUUUUCUAGUGAUGAAAUUUUACCAUGAUUUUCUGUGGGAAGUCACCUCUGCUCUCAGGAAUUUGAUUUCAAAUUUUUAGGUAGAGACAAAAGUUCAUUUCAACAGGAUACAUGAAGGAGGCAUUGAAAAUUGUGAACUCGUAGAAUGUUGAAACAAGGAAAAUGGGCUUAUUCUUUUCAGAGGGAGAAGUGAGGUGUAAAUGGAUUUCUUCCAUAAACUCCCUUAGUGGUGCUUCAUUUACUUGACAGUGGUUCAAAGAGGGGAAGAUUUUCUAUUCAUUGGGAAGCUUUUAUUAUUAUUAUUUAACUGGUUUGAAUUUAGCAGUCUGAAUGUAUCACCACAAAGAACCACCUAGAGAUGUCUCCUGAAAUUGCAUUCAUGUUGUUUGAUAGACUUUUUGCCUUCUCAAUAAUUAUGUAUGUGUGACUGGCUUACUUUUAUUUGCCACGAUGGACAUGGUUGACAAAGUCACUGUGGUAAAAUGAACACGUGUUAAUUAAGGUUUUAGACUUGGGAGUAUCAAUUGUGGGCGUUCUGCUAUUUGGUAUUGCUAUCAGCUGACAUGGGUCAAGUCUCGAGUUUUGACAUAGGUUGAGGCUGGUAUUUGAUGAUUUUAAACACUUUAUAUUCUCUUCCAAAUGCUGUCAAACUGUGCUCUCCUAAUAUUUUCUGUUAAUCUCAUUCUCUGGGCAAACUGAUCGAAGGUCAGUUAUAGCUUAUAUAUCAUGCGGAGUAGUGUAUGCUUAAUAUAUCAGUUGUUGGUUGUAAUCAUUGAUGUCUUCAAAUUUUGUUUCUUGAAUUUUUUGAUUGAAAAAAAGGAGCAAAAUGCUUAAGUAGAGAUUUUUCCCCUUUACAGGGCCGGUUCUUGUCCUCUCUUAACACACAAUCCCCAGCACUAAAUGUUGUCUCUCGAAGGUUAGUGAGACCGUAUUUCUUUUUCCUUCAAUUAUGUUAAUAAGCUGUCUUCCUUUUCAUUUUUAUUUUCAUAAUUCAAAGUAAAAGGAAGGCCUAAAGAUGAUGUAAGGUUUUGUCUUUGCUUCUUGUUUAUUUCAUUGUUCUCUUCUUUUUUCUUCUUUAUAUGUGAAAAACAGCAUGGUCCAUGGAUUGGUUGCCUGUGGUGGAGAGGAUGGUGCUGUAGAAUGCUUCGACACUAGAGCUAGAUCUUCAGUUGGCAGGAUAAAUGCUGUUGCAGCUGCUGGUGGCAUUGAUCAGGUAGCUCUUUUAUGAUAGAUCAUUGACAACUCCCAUCAGAUUCUCUUUGCAUAUGCUGUUGUCAUUGAUUGAGUGAGUUAGCUCAUUAACUCUGUAACUUCUGCACUCCUGUAUUUCUUGUUCAGAAUGUUUAUUUUGAAAUGGUCAAUAAGUUAUUUCAUUGUAAGUUCCUUAUUAGUGAUUAUCAUAUAUCUGAAGACCAAAUGCUGUGGUUUUGGUGUCCUCCUAUUUUGAAAUAUAGUUUCUUGCCUGGAGUGUAAAGCAGAAUAGGGGACACAUACUGGGCAUAGUGGUUCUGAAGUUCAAACUGGUUUUGCGCCCUGCACGCGUGAACAUGUUACAGUCAUUUCCUAAUUGGUCUUUGCUUGUACUGGACGCUGAUCAUUUAUUAUGCCUUAUUGUCUCACCAUUGCGGGGACACUAAAAUCAUGGCUACAUGUCCAUUCAGCUGGAAAUGCCUUCUUCCUAGUAUCAAUGGAGGAUUUGGAAAAUUAAUGUGCAAGUAUAUCCGAAUAUAAUUGUAUGGUUAGAGAUACGAAUACCUCGUAGAUGAUGGUGCUCUUUUUUAGCUUGGGUAUUUGAUUUGGAGCGCUUCAAGAGACAUAAAUCAAUUGAAUCCAAAUCUUUUCAGGCCGUUCACUACCAUCUCGUGUAUCUUUAGUUCCUCUGACCAUUGACAUAGUUCAGGUCUAUUUGUGGUGUUAGAGGAUUUUUUCUUUGCUGCAAAUAACAAAAUAGGAUAAUAGAUUGUACUUUCUGAUACUUCUGGACUUCAAUAUAGAGGUGAAAAAAGGCUUUUGGUUUUGAUGGUUUAUCCACUUGAUUAAUACUUUUUGUUGAUUAUGUUUCCUUUUAUUAUUUUCAUCGAAUCAUAGGAGGUUACUGCAAUACAAUUUGACUGUGAUGGAGGUUACCUCAUGGGUGUUGGAAGUAGUGCCGGGAAGGUAUGCAUCAUCUUUGUGUUUUUCAGUAAAUCAUUCUGGAUGAUGACUAAUGAUACAUUUCUUAUAGUGAUUGUAUGUUUUCUGAAAUUUAAAGUGCUUUUUAAAUUAUCCCUUAUAUCCAAAUGUGAUAUCAAAGAACUGAAAUAUCUGCCUUUUUUUUUUUGAAAAAUAUAUUGUGGGGUGAUUUAAAAUUUGAAUGGAUCUGUCUUUUAUGACAAUAUUGCUCUUACUUGUAUCUUAUGGACAUUGAUUUAUAAAAGAUGCCUUUGAAGCCAGAAAAUAUGGUGUUCAAUGGAAAGUGCUAGCCUUUCUGUCCCUUAUUAUUUUUUUAAGCAUUUAAACUGAGAUUUUAGUGGAGGGAAAAAAGGCUGUAUCCUUGGAUUCUGCUGUAAUUCAUGGCAUAGUGAAAGAACCUUCGUAAUUCGACCUUAUGAUGUUAUAAUAAAGUUAUAUUGCAGUGAAAUUUUUGGAGAGCCAUUUUGAAGUGGUAAUACUUCUCAAAAAGAUUAAAGUUGACAUUACUGCUAAUUUGGUGUGUAUGCUAUCUAAUGCAUCAUUUAGCAAGUAUUUCGAGAUUAAUCAUCAAUAUGGUCAUUUGUGGUUGAUUUGAAAGGGUUGCCAAGUAAGCUAGUGAUUGUUGCUGAAUGACCACCAAUGGUGAAUACAGAAUCAACUCUGAUUUGGUAUCUUCUUUAGGCAUAUGUUUUUCUAAGUGUUUAUAUGCCUCAUCUCAGAAAAAUAUUGUGGAACGUGAGCUUUUGCUUUCCUUAAAAGUCAACAUAACGUAGAUGGGCUAUCUGGGAGUGAUGACCAUUACGUGGUAUAUGGGCAGUGUAAUGUAUGUGCUUGCACAUGGAUGUGUAAUCACUUGUUAAGGAACUUACCAGGGAUUCUAGUCUAAUAAAAGAACCUUAUAGGAGGCUUCUUCUUGGUGUUUGAUUUUUUAUCAUUUACUUCUGACACAUGAACUUUUCUGUUACAUUUUUCUUUGUUGAUAUGUGAAGUUCAUGAUAUGUAUUAUAUUAAUUGGCAGGUUUUGAUUUAUGAUUUACGCUCUUCAUAUCCUAUGCGAAUAAAGGAUCACAUGUGAGUUGCUUUUCUGAGCUGCUAUUGGGUAUAUAAAUUACUGCUGGUUGAUUCGUAUUUUAUGUGCCUGAUGCUAAGGCGUCUAUUAUUUUGUGGAACCUGGCAAUCUUUUAUAGGUAUGGCAGCCCGAUACUGAGCAUCAAGUGGCAUAAGACUCUUAAUUCAGAUAAACCGAAGUUAAUUACCGCUGAUAAACACAUUGUUAGGAUCUGGGACCCUGAGACAGUAAGGAAUUCUCAUAUCUCAGUAUGUUUUUGUUGCAAUUUGAUAUUUGUAAGUUGCAGAAAUGUGGUUGUCCUCAGAUUGUUGCUUGCUGGUAAGAAGGUUCAAUAGGUCAUAUGGACUUGAAUGCUUCCUGGGCUCAAGACAAAUUCAAGAGAAUUGUGAAGUUACUUAUGUUAGCAUUAAUUGCUAUCUUUGUGGGAGGGUUUUGGUUGCUGGAACAGCUUGUAAUAACCAAUGUGCUGGGUGAGAACAGACCAACUGUAUUGGUAUCUUCUUGGUGGCUUUCUAUGAUUGGAGGUUGUGAAUGCCCUUUGAGCCAGGAUUUAUGUGGUAAAUAAGGGCGAAUAAAAAGAGUUCACAUUUUAGAUGACCAGAGAAGCAGAUUGGGACCAGCAAAACAACUCAUACAAGCUUCAGCUCCGAAAGAUCUAACUUUUAUUGCUUGAUGGUUUUAACUACUAAUCGAAAAUAUAGUGAAUUUUAAAGACUGCACAAAGGAGCUUUAAGUUGUAAGUUGUUAAGCACUUGAGUUGUUGAGCACUAGGAAAGAGAUUCUGGUGAGCUAUUAGGUGAUUAUCUUGUUAGUAAAAUAAUGGAGAUAAGGUAGGCACAGAAAUUCAGGCUGUGUCUUCUUGUAACCCUCCCUCCUUGAGGUUCCAAUUCUUUGUUCUCUGCCUUCUUCUUUUUCUUUGAGCUGGGAGGAACUGAUGGUAGGAUUAGUGUUGUCACAAAACCUUCACUGUGCGACAAAAUGUGAAAUCUGUCGGGUUAAAUAUGCCUUUUGAACUCAACUUAAUAUUUCAAGUGUGGCAAUAACUUUGUCUAAUUGAGUAAAUCUGGUGUUAUUAGGGUGAAGGGAUGACCAGCAUUGAACCGACGGCUGGGAAAAUCAAUGACCUAUGUGUGUUUGGUGGAAGUGGGCUGAUGUUAUUGGCUUUGGACAGCAGCCAAAUCCCUUCUUAUUUCGUACCUGCCCUUGGACCGGCUCCAAAAUGGUGCUCUUAUCUUGAGAACUUGACGGUAUGACUAUGUGAUGUCAAUGACCUAUCUUCAAAUUAUGGGUUGUAAAAUCACAUUUUGGCAAGUUAAGAAUGAGUUUAUGAUAUUCCUAUCUAUUUACAGGAGGAGCUGGAGGAGAAUGCGCAAACAACUAUUUAUGAUGAUUUCAAAUUUUUGACCAAAGAAGACCUUGCGAAGUUGAAUUUAACAAACUUGAUUGGAACCAAUCUUCUAAGAGCAUACAUGCAUGGUUACUUCAUUGACUAUCGGCUGUAUAAAAAGGUAAAUAUUUUUUUAACUGGACUGAUGCAAUAGCCCUUUUCAAAUCUAUAGGACAUUUUAUCGGUCAUGCAGUCUUCUAAAGCAGUAGUUAAACUAAACUGUUAUUUAGAAAUGAAUAACAAUUUAGAGGAGUAUGAGGUAGACAUGUUUUUCUGCAUUCAAUCAGGUUUAAGAUUUCAGUAUAGAGACCUGAAAUUGAAGAAUUAUAAUUAUAGUUGCUCAUAUUUCUUGUGCAGGCACAAGCUUUGGCAGAUCCAUUUGCUUAUGAAUCUUAUAUAGAGAGACGGAAAAAAGAAAAGCUGGAAGCUGAACGUGCCUCAAGAAUUACGGUCAGUUUCAUGCCUGAACUUGUUGAUUAAUUUACAUUUUCAUCUUGUUUCUUUUUGGCAAACCUCUAAAAUAUGUUUGGUAUUGUAGUUUUGACCAAAUUUGGUUAUAAUGGAUUAGUAAGAUUGACUAGUUAAAUCCAUUCGAAGUUUAAGACAUCAACGCUGAUUAAAGAUAUCUUCCAGCCUUGCAUAUUCCAUUGUUUGUUUCAGGUUUGUGUUUGAGCUGAUACAGCCUGCUAAGACCAAUAGCAUUUUGAGUGUGACCAUGUUUGGUUAGCUAACCACUGAACUAGAGUGAUAAUUUAAGAAAAACAUUUUUGUUUCUGUACCAACUCAUGGUACAAAUGCAAGGAAAAUUGGUGAAUCAACAGAUUUUGUUAUCCAAAACACCCUCAAUGUUUUCUGUAUGGUUAAAUGACGUCACUAUCUGCAGGAUGAUAGUCAGUUUGCAUUUGCAUGGUAUUCUUUCAAGAUAUAAGAAGAAUUGUCUUAUUUUGGAUACAAAAAACAUCCAUAGAUGAAGGCUGAUUGUUUCUAGAGAGUAAUCAAUAAUAAUCUAUAAAUGACAUAGAAGAGAUAUUUGAAUUCAUUUGCAUAGUAGUUAACUUCAUAACCUGAAUACAUGAGGAAACUAUCAAGUGCAAUGUGUGGUUUACCUUCUUUGAAUAGCAUUUUAUAGGACUCCUUGUUUUCACAAAUACAUGAAGUUGAUAUCUUGCGGGCAUUUUGUUUCUGGUUUCAUUCUGCUGGGGUCAAAUAAUAGCACGGAACAAAGGGAAAAAAUCACUUUGAUACCCGGUGUCCUUUCAAUAAAUAUGAACUCUCAAUUAUAUGUAGUAUAGGUAAAUCUGAUGUUCUUUCAAAAGUAAAGGGACUUUUGACAUGUUGGGCAGUUAUUGGUGAAUGGUGAUGUAGCGGAUUGAUCUAAUUAUUAUUCCAUAUUCAUUUUAUUUAUUUGCUGAUCUCAGUUGUAUACACAAGCAAUUUGUCCGGUCUACAUUCUCUCAUAUCUGUAGACAUCAUGCUUACAUGCUUAUGCUACUUGAUGUUAUCUAUAACUCUUCCUUCUUAAAGAAAGAAGAAAAAGGUCAUAUUUGUUGAUGUACUUGCCCAAGUUCAUUUGGUUACGAAUGCCUUUUCUAGUGGUUGAUUGUUUAAAAUAUAGUCACUGUAAAAUUAGAUGAUAAAAGCGCAAGUCACCUUGAUCACCUAGACAUACUUCUUCCAAAUUUAGGCUCCCGACACCCCCCCCCCCCCAACAACCCAAAAACCAAAAAAAAAAAAUAGGGCUAUACUAACCAAAUUCAAAGUUAUCCUGGUAGCCAAUAAGGGAGGACCUAAAUUACACAUAAUAUGUCUAUGCACGGAUCUUUUCACCUAUGUUGUUGUGCUUGUACAAACGUUUGCACUUUGUUGUAACAUAAGAGUGAAACUAUAAUUGCUUGUACUUGAAACUUGCUGCUUGAUAGAAUAGUACUAAGAUUGGUAAAACUAUAGCACCAUGCGUUUUUGUGUUGAAGGGUUGUGAUGUCAUUGCUUCUUGAAAUGUAUGACUUUGAGAUAUUUUAUGCUCUAGUGUCAGAAACUUGUUAUUUGGUAUUUCUUAAUCUUUGUGUGUUCGUCUUUCUGCAGAUCAAGAGAAAGUUGCCAAAAGUUAACCGUGGUCUUGCAGCUCGACUUCUUGAAGAUGAAGAUGCUGAGAAUGAAGGGAGAGACAUUGAUAAUGGUGAUACUAAGAAAAUAUCCAAGAAAAAGAAAGGACUAACCAGUGAGGUCAUGAAGGAUGACCGAUUUGCCGCAAUGUUUGAAAACAAGGUAAUUUUACACUUCUUUUUAUUUGAUUGAUGUCUCUUUAGUAAUCUAAAGGUAUCUCACACAUGACAAUGCACUCUUCUGAAACUAAACUUUGAAUGUUGUGGAGGGGAAAUAUGGCACCUUGCAUGAAAUUGUUUGAAAGUCGUGCUAACCAUUGUUUACUUUUUUUUCCUUUGAGAUGCUCAAGAAGCGCCAAGAAUUUGUAUACUAAAAAUUGGAGCAAUAAGAACCUUCAUGGUCGUUGUUAUAUGGUUUGUUGGGAAAUAUUUUAUGUAAUUAAAUAAACCUACAUGAAGAGUAAUGCUGGAAAUCUAAUUGGAUCUUAAUUAUUAGUUUAUUCAGAUAAUUUCUAAUAGUUGGGAUAGUUAUUUGCUUAUAAGUGGUAGUUUGUAAUUGUCAGUUUAGUUUAGGAAUGCCAUGGACAUGUAUGAUUUUGUUGCUCUUUCAUGCAUUUCUUUAUAUUGUUUAGCUGCCUGUAGUUAAAUUGGUAAUUAGGGCCGCUCCUAUGUUGCCUGCUUUUGAUUAAUGUCGUCUAUUGAUUCUUAUAGGACUUUGAGAUUGACGAGUUUUCACAAGAAUAUUUGGCUUUCCACCCAAUAGCAUCCACGAAGCAACCAUCUUUGGUCGAGGAGCAUUUUGAGCCUGUAAUGGAAGAUGAAGACCUUGAUGCAGAUGAUUCAGAUGUAUCGGCAGCCGGCCAAUCUUCUGACAAUGAGGAUGCUGGUGGUAGAAAGAAAUCACGAGUUCCUAGGUGAGUCUUGAGUUUAUUUUUUGUCCAUACUUUCAUCAGUGAAGAAAAAUGCAUCUCUUUCUUGGUUAUGUAUCCAAUUCUGCACUAUAUAGUACAUGAAUACUUUGAUAUGGAAAUACUUAUGCUAGACUAGACAUCAGUCUUCAUAAUUAGAGAUGUAGUAACUAGGCUGAUUUGGCUUGGAGAACUCAUGGACGUAGUUGCCUGCUAAAACAUGAAAUGGGCGACUCUUUCUGUUUAAUUCUUAUCCCUUUAUGUGAAUACUCAGGUUGUACGAGGUGAAGGAUGAGCGACACGCAGAAGCCUUCUCAAAUAGCAGAUCAUUAGCAAAGGAGGACUAUCUUUCAUUAGGAGAAAGGGCUGCAGCUAUGGCAAAUAUAUCAAGAGAUGCUAGUGGUGUUAAGGUGGGAGCAGGAGGGUCCCGUGAAAUAUCCUUUAUUUCCAGAAGCAAAGCAAAGUACAAAGAAUAUGAUGAGGACGAGGAGAGACUGCCUCAGAAGAGGAGAGGAGUCCAAUCUUUGAAACUGAAACCAGAUAGAUCAAGUUUUCGAGGCCGUGGGAGGGGAGGAAGUCGUGGAAGAGGCAGAGGAAGGGGUCACAGGUGAACUGAAAGUUUAAUUAUGUAACCGUGUGUACACUGUAUACUUCUUGUCGGCCUCUUUGCUCAAGCACACUGGAGGGGUACAGCAUUGACAAAGUUAACGACUAGAAGAGCAAAUUUUGCUGCUCUGUUGCUCACGACGAAGUUUUGCAGUUUUCAGGGGCACACAUCCUUCAAUCAUCUAUUUUGAAGGCGUAUUAGGAGGGUACUUAGUGGAGAAGGCGGCUCUUUAUGUCCACCUUUUAUAGUUCAAUUCCCUGGAAGAGGAAUUCAUUUUUGGUUCAAUAGGUCUGAUGCUUUUCUGGUGACUUAAACCUUGAUACGUUAGAUCAAAUGCAUGAGAUCAUUCGCCUCUCUUUACUACUUGAUCUAAGCAUCAAUUUUGGGUAAAAUUAAACUGGUGCAGAGGGAGAAUAGUGGAGGUAAGGAGCUCGGCGAAUUCUUGUGCAAAGUUGAAAUAGAGUUUGUAUGGAAGGUUUAAGUUCUUAGAAAGAAAAUGGAUGACGCUAACAUAAAAUUUGCUGCAUUUUUCUUGCGGUGUUACCCUUUAAUUUGUUUGUGUACUUAUUUAUUUUGUUUGUGUGUGGUUAUAAAAGCUGAAUGGAUAGUGCUUGAUAUCCCAUGUUACAGAUUUUGACAAGUUAUUCAACUGUGGUUUACUGGCCUUGACGGUUUGAUUGAUGGUAGCAGGCCAGGGUGAAACUUCAAAGUGGAAAAAAAAGAAGAGGCACCAAUAAAGUUUCAUGUUACCGUUUGGAAAAAAAUAAAAUAAAAAAAAUAAAGUUUCUGACAUUUAUGGGAUGAUAAUAACCGCAUGUAGCAAGGAAAGGAGAGAAAUUUAAGCUUUCCUCCUCUUCAAGAAAUUGAGUUUUAGUAAAUUAUUUUACCCUACAAGGGGAAUCACAAAACAAAGAAGCAUCCAAAAGUGGAACGGAACCAUCCAUGGCCAGGCAAAACUCUACCCAAGGCAAGUAAUGGGCGGCCAAUUUCAACUUUUCUGUAUUUUCCUAAUCAACCAAUUAGGCCAUGGGUUCACAAUUUAGCUGGCUGGCUUGGUAGCGCCUGAAACGCCAUUUGAAUCUGCAAAAUCUUUUGAACUUGCUUUAGUAAAGCAAUCUCCAAGAUGAUAUAUUAGAAAACUGAGCUGCUUUGCAAUUUUCAAUUAGCUGCAGCAGUACUACCAGAUUGUUGAGUGUCAUAACAUCAAAAUUUGCCUUAAUCCAAUCUCCAGGUGGUAAUCUGUCAAUGGUGGCUUUUCGCAGGUUCGUGAAUUUGCACUUUGAUGGUGGAUGAUCUGCUGUUAUGCCUCGCGUAUGGUAUUGUUACUGCCUAGGAAAAAUAAAAAGGGACAAUAUCAGAAACUUCUCCUGAGGUUUCUCUUAAUAUCACUUAACGCCCUUAAGGUUUUGAAAAUAUCACUUGCCUUCUCUAGGAUAUGAUUUUUUUUUUUGUUUAUUGUACGUUGACUUUUAUAAUGAUUUAGUAUGAUUUAAAGGUUUGGCUCAUAGGUUGAAAAAAAUGAAGGUUCAUAAGAAGUCAAUUUGAAGUAUAUAGAGUUGAAUCAACGCUAGUAUAUUUCUUUGUAAAUAUACUUUUAAUUUUUUUUUCAAAUUUAUAUUUUUAUGGAUUAUAAUUUUGCGAUAUGGUGGUAUAAUUAGAGAUUUUUUUUAGGUGAUUUUUUUUUUCUUUUUGGAGUAAACAAAAUGGCUUAGGAGUUUUUUAUUUAGCAAAAUGAGCAAAAGGGUAGUCUGGAAUUUUUAUAAAUUUUAUAACACAAAUAACAAAAGUAAGAGAGGUAAAUGGUAUUUGUAAAACUUUAAGGGUGCUAAGUGAUAUUAAGAGAAACCUCAGGCAAGUUUAUGAUAUUAUCCCAAACAAAAAUCCUAAUUUUGCCUAACAAUUUCUCAUAGUAACUACUCCUAGGAAAAAUGAAAAUCCUAAUUUUUCAUUUUAACGAAGUAAAAGUAAUUCUCAAAACGACAAAAAAAAAACAAAAGAGUUGUGCAGUAGAUUUCUUUCUACUUUUUGGCCCCCCUCACUAGAUAAGAAUACUUGAUUCCAUACCCUUCGGCCAGGCACUUGAUUGUCCGCCUAGAUUCUGCUAAAGCUCCUUAAAAGAUACGUGCACAUUUCAUGAGAACUCCGGAGACAGGUUCCAGCCUACUUGGAAUUUCAAAGCUCAACACCCUUGCAAGGUAAAAGCGUAGGCAUCUAGCAAAGCUAGCUAGAGUAUUUGAGGAUGCAAAAGAACCUAGUACACUAUUAGCAGCAACUGGUUGCAGACCUCUUGUUUUCAGUACAUGGAAGCAGAGGGCAUAGAGGGAUACCCUGAAUCUAUAUGAAACCAAAGGAUCGUACCGCAUGACAUAUCCAGACUAUCAUGGAAAUUGGUCCCAUGGACAAAAGCAAAAAGAAAGGCGAGAAUGGGAGAACUCAGAGAUGAAAAUGAAACUUGAGACUCUAUGCUACAAGAGCUACCACUAGAUUGCUAUAAACAAAGGAAAGAAUAGUAUUUGCUAAACAACCAUGAAAUAUCCGCAACAUUUUAAAGGGCAAGAACUUUAUUCCAUUAUCCAGGAUACAAGGUAUCUCAAGCCUUUAAUUGUAUUUCUCUACAUUGCAGAUCAUCAUAAGCAGAAUUAUGGGUGUCUAACUAGUUGAAAUCUGUAUUUAAGGCAGGAUACAUAAUUCAUUCUGAGAAAAAAGCGGUUCAGUUCACGUUAACUAAAUCUCGAUGAGCUCCCACUCUAUCACGAGGGAUUAGACGCAAUUCUGAGCCAUGC